GGGGUUGUAGCUCAGUGGUAGAACACUUGCCUUGCAUGCAUGAGGCCUUGGGUUCAAUCCUCAGCAUCACAU
rnacentral:tRNA from 1 species